AAUUUGAAGAUAUCAGCGCAAGCACCCACAGCAUCUGGGUUAACCCAUUCUUCACAUAGAAAGGAUAACUCAGAAUUGAACCAAGAAAAUUUUGGGAUGAUGUCAGAAAAUACGAGUACAACACCAUCAAAUAACGCAUUUUCAACUAGAAUGCAACCUGGACCCACAAAUUCAGGUUCUCAAACUGGCAGUUAAAGUGAUCUCCAAUCAAAUUUGAAGAUAUCAGCGCAAGCACCCACAGCAUCUGGGUUAACCCAUUCUUCACAUAGGUAAGUAAAUAAUAUAAUCAACAUAUUAACUGUAAUGUUAGGUGCCAUGUCAUCAUGGCUCACCACACUGAAUUUAUCAGUAUGGUUCG